AGGGGGAUAGCUUAGUUGGGAAGAUCUAGGCUUAAUUUACCUUACGGUUAUUUCCGUAAGGUCGUGGGUUCGAAUCCCGCUCCCCUCC